rnacentral:rRNA from 1 species
GAUGAACGCUAGCUACAGGCUUAACACAUGCAAGUCGAGGGGCAGCAUGAACUUAUCUUGCUAAGUUUGAUGGCGACCGGCGCACGGGUGAGUAACACGUAUCCAACCUGCCGAUGACUCGGGGAUAGCCUUUCGAAAGAAAGAUUAAUACCCGAUGGCAUAGUUCUUCCGCAUGGUAGAACUAUUAAAGAAUUUCGGUCAUCGAUGGGGAUGCGUUCCAUUAGGUUGUUGGCGGGGUAACGGCCCACCAAGCCUUCGAUGGAUAGGGGUUCUGAGAGGAAGGUCCCCCACAUUGGAACUGAGACACGGUCCAAACUCCUACGGGAGGCAGCAGUGAGGAAUAUUGGUCAAUGGACGAGAGUCUGAACCAGCCAAGUAGCGUGAAGGAUGACUGCCCUAUGGGUUGUAAACUUCUUUUAUACGGGAAUAAAGUGAGGCACGUGUGCCUUUUUGUAUGUACCGUAUGAAUAAGGAUCGGCUAACUCCGUGCCAGCAGCCGCGGUAAUACGGAGGAUCCGAGCGUUAUCCGGAUUUAUUGGGUUUAAAGGGAGCGUAGGCGGACGCUUAAGUCAGUUGUGAAAGUUUGCGGCUCAACCGUAAAAUUGCAGUUGAUACUGGGUGUCUUGAGUACAGUAGAGGCAGGCGGAAUUCGUGGUGUAGCGGUGAAAUGCUUAGAUAUCACGAAGAACUCCGAUUGCGAAGGCAGCCUGCUGGACUGUAACUGACGCUGAUGCUCGAAAGUGUGGGUAUCAAACAGGAUUAGAUACCCUGGUAGUCCACACAGUAAACGAUGAAUACUCGCUGUUUGCGAUAUACAGUAAGCGGCCAAGCGAAAGCGUUAAGUAUUCCACCUGGGGAGUACGCCGGCAACGGUGAAACUCAAAGGAAUUGACGGGGGCCCGCACAAGCGGAGGAACAUGUGGUUUAAUUCGAUGAUACGCGAGGAACCUUACCCGGGCUUGAAUUGCAACUGAAUGAUGUGGAGACAUGUCAGCCGCAAGGCAGUUGUGAAGGUGCUGCAUGGUUGUCGUCAGCUCGUGCCGUGAGGUGUCGGCUUAAGUGCCAUAACGAGCGCAACCCUUAUCGAUAGUUACCAUCAGGUUAUGCUGGGGACUCUGUCGAGACUGCCGUCGUAAGAUGUGAGGAAGGUGGGGAUGACGUCAAAUCAGCACGGCCCUUACGUCCGGGGCUACACACGUGUUACAAUGGGGGGUACAGAAGGCAGCUACACGGCGACGUGAUGCUAAUCCCGAAAGCCUCUCUCAGUUCGGAUUGGAGUCUGCAACCCGACUCCAUGAAGCUGGAUUCGCUAGUAAUCGCGCAUCAGCCACGGCGCGGUGAAUACGUUCCCGGGCCU